UGGAAAGGUCUAUUCGGUGAACAUUUCUGUUCUGUUUGCUUAAGGAAAAUUCAAUGAUCAUUAUGCUAAUGAUAAGCAAUCCUGUUGUUCCUCAGUUUUUCAAAUUACGCACCUGUUAUUGGGUGUUUAAAAGAGUCAACUAACUGCUAAGGCCAUUUUUAGCCAAAUAGUAGAAAGGUCAAGUUUAAGAUUGCUGUGAUAUUUCUUAUGGUAAUAUAUCUUGAUAUAUCUCAAGCAAAUUGUGCUGUGGUUUAAGGUUGCAUGAUUGUUGGUUCCUCUGUGAACCUUUGAGAAGCUCCUCCCCAAUAUCAGCUGUUAGACUCCACCUGCUCUUCACCAUUUUUCCCAUCAGGCGUUCAGUGCUCAACCUGCCAAGCAGAGUAAAGUCAUAAGUGGUCAAAAGGAAAGGAGGACUCAGCAUGUAUCAUUGUCAACAGAGCAGAGGGUGUUUGAAGGCCACACUUUGGAUUUUGGAUGUUUGAAGGACACACUUUGGACUCAACUGUCUGACAAAGAUGCACUUUUCCUAUUACAGAACGUUCCCGGAUGCUCACAGAGGAAGACACAACAGCUUUGAUCUUCCAAAGAAACAUGACCUUACAUGAGAGUACAUUUCACACUUGAAAAAAUAUAUGAAUCCUGUUGGGGAAGCCCUUUCUGCAGAUUCUGAUGCCCUCCAGCACACCGUUACAGCGCAGCUGGUGCAUGACCAGAGGAUUCUCCAUCGCCCCAGGAGUCUUGGUCUCAUUGGGGAUGAUGCAGCGCACAAAGUGAGGCAUCACUACAGAACACCUGACUGCCCAUAAUGAACCCAGCAGUUCGGCUUCUUUGGCUACGUCAGGGGAGUCGUCCCCUGGAGAGUUAUGUAGAGGACUUCUGCGAUCUGGCCAGUCUGGUGGACUUUAAUGCGGUCAAAGACCAUUUUGGAUUAAGUGAGACAAUCUCAUCUUUAAUGCCUGGUGGACACAGUUCCCUCAAUCUGGUCCAGUAUAUCGACCUUGCCUUGCAGAUUAUGGGUUCUACGUUCACUGUGGGGGAGGCGAAUGCUGAGCCAGUGCUCACGCCUACCACAGCCAUCGAGCCAACGCCCACGUCUGCCACAGCCAAGGAGCCAAUACCCAUGCCUGCCACAGCCAGCAUUGUAAGCCUCAUCCAUCCCAGAGUCUGCCAACUUCGGACUUUCGGAGAAGGAAGAGGAGAAAGGCUUUUGUUUCCAAGUCUCUGCCUAUGUUCAUGACCACAGAGGUCGUCUUCGAGUCUCUGCCCAUAUUCACGACCACAGAGUUCGUCUCCAAGUCUCUGCCCAUGUUCACGACCACAGAGGCUGUUCCUGAGUCUCUGUCCAUGCCCACGAGCACAGAGGUCACUCCCUAGACUCUGCUCAUGUUCACAACCACUGAGGUCUUUCCCCAGUCAUCCAGGACUCUGUCAUGAGCUUCCCAUGGCUCCGCCUUCCACGACUUUGCUCCACAUCAUGGCCGCCAAGCCCAAGUUCCACGUUUCACUGAGCUUGCGCCACCUUCUGCCCCGGGUCCUCAGAGUCAGCUCCAGGCCACGUCACAGCCACGGCAGAGUCAGCUCCAGGCCACGUCACAGCCACGGCAGAGUCAGCUCCAGGCCACGUCACAGCCACGGCAGAGUCAGCUCCAGGCCACGUCACAGCCACGGCAGAAACAGCUGUUCCCAUGCUCCACGCCAUGUCUUGCCAGGCCACAUCUCAAGGAUGUCAUACAAUGUCCUUGUAUUUAAGCCUUCAUGUUUGCCAUUGUCUGGUGUCAGGCAUUGUGAAUGUAACUUAGUUUUGUUUAAGUCUAAUCAAGUUAUGUUUAUGUCAAGUUCAUGUUUUGUUUAGUUCACGUUUGUAGUCAGGGUUUUUGGGAUUUAAUGGUUGAAAAAUAAACUGCACUUGGGUUCAUCUUUACAUCAUCAUCACUGCCUGUUUCCAGCGUCGUUACACAAUUAACUCAAAUUUGGAAUUUUGUGGUGGUUAGGUCAUCUCUAUGCUAGUGCAGUCCUAAAUGUUGACAAACUUUAGGAGAUCUUCUGUACACAUUUAAUAUUAAAUUGUCUUCUUUUCUGGGAAAAUGAACUAAAAAUAUUGGUGACAAAUUUUUGCCCAAAAAAAUGUUCUAUAAAAUGAUAAUGUCCCAUCCUUCUAAUACCACCUGGCACAGACUAGCAAUAGCAAGUAGCAAUUCAGCAUUUUCCCAGGAUAUGGAGGCUAUUGGCUAUAGAAAAAAAAUAACAAGCCAUUAGGUAUCAAUUAAUUUUGGUAACAAUGUAGAUUCUAAUGCAGUAUUUAUGGAUACUGGACCGGGCCCACUGGAAUUUGUUUUCAAGACUGUCGAGCAGGGUUUUUGACCGUUAAAGGUCCCAAUGUAUGACAAAUUGUCUGACACAGUUUCCAGUGAAAAUAUUACAGCAUGACUCCCAGUGAUAAUAGCACUUCGCUUCCACAAGGGUUUAAACUUUCCCAACAGCUUGCAAAGUUCUGCAACUAAAGUGGGUUGUAUCCCACACACUGGCAAAAUCACCCUGCAUUAUAUUCCCACGGUGAGAACCUUCUCACAUCAGAAUAGCAUUAAAACAUUAUUGUGUUGCCAUCUUCUGGAGAAGAACACUAGGCUAAUGUGAAUCUUAUAUGCAUUUCUGUAAAGAAAUGCUGCAAACUGGCAAACAAAAACUUCUGUUCUAUGUUAAAACGUCAUAAAAUAAAUUGCCUAAGGAUUGUUGUUAUUUUAAUAUUUCUUUGUGAAUGAAAAGAUACACUGAUGAGCCAAAACAUUAUGCCACUCUCGGGUGAAUU